CAUUUGAACCUUUUCAAUGAUUUGUUGGUUUGCUUUUUUAAAGGUUAAAUAGAAGAACUAAAAACCUGAACUUUAAAUACCUGCAGUAAAGUAUUAGGAGUAAAAGUGCCAGGAUUAUCCUAUUUGUCAAUAGAAAGCCCAUCAGAUUACAUCUGAUAUAUCCCAUCCUCUUUUUGAUUCAUUUCAAAUCCUUCCCUCAGGAUCUCGGGUACCUUUGGUAAGGAUCACCAGAUUUAAAUGGUCAUUUGUUCUUCGUGCGAUUGAUUUGCUGAAUUUUAAUGGGAAGGUAGUUGCUGCUUUUAGUAC
rnacentral:lncRNA from 1 species